GGAUGUUUGAUAUGAAAGGAAGGUUGGAGAUUGGCCUAUAAUUAGCUAAGACAGCUGGGUCUAGAGAUGCUUUUUAAGUAAGGGUUUAACUACAGCCACCUUGAAGGCCUGUGGUACAUAGCUGAUUAUUAGAGAUAGGUUGAUCAUAUUUAAGAUUGAAGCAUUAAUUAAUGGCAGGUGCUGUUAGCUGCCUCAAGAUUGAUCAGUUAACUGUAGCUACCAACCUUUUUUGGGCUCCGUCUGCUGUGUGUGGGUUUGUUUUCUGUGUCCUGAUUAGCUGUUCUUUGACCACAUGACAGCUCUUCUGACUCCAGCAGGUACCUGAUUGGUGGGCCGACCAUCGUCCUCCUCGGCCUCUGAGGCUCCUCCAUCUUCUCGUCUUCCUUUCUUCUGCCCUUUACAACCACGUGACUUCUGUCUUUAUCUUUAGCGUCAAGCCUGUCAAUCAUCUCUGAAGCCCCGCCCCCAGCCUCACAGAGGCCAACAGCAUCUGAUCUUCCGCUCCUUCUUGUGAGUUUGAUAACUGCCUCCUGAUCAUUCUGAUUGGCUGUUCCAGAAUCAUGUGACCUGUGUCUUUAUCUUCAAUGUCAGAAGAGUCAGUCAUCUUUGAAGCCCCGCCACCAACAGAGUCUUUUGCUCUUCCUCUCCUUGUGUGUUUGUUAGCUGCCUUCUGAUUGGUCUGAUUGGCUUUUCCAGAACCCCGUGUUGUCACCUCUGACUCCAGCAGGUACCUGAUUGGUGGGCCAACAGUCGUCCUCCUUGGCCUCUGAGGCCCCUCCUCCUUCUCCACACAGACUUGUUGCGCCUCCCUUUCCUCGUCGUCCUCCUCCACUCUGCUCCUCUUCGUCCCCCUCCUUCCAUUCCUCCUCUUGUUCAGGGUCCAGUAGUCGACCAACCAGCUGGGACUUUUUCUCACACGAUUUAUGUCUCUUGACCAAUAAGGAGCCCCGGUGGGUGCUGUGAAGAGGGGCUUCCUGGGCCUCUGAGGCUCCUCCUUGUCAUCCUGGGUGGUCUGUUUUUCCUGUUUGUUUUUAGGAGCUCGGGCGUUGCUCAGGGCCGACCCACAUCCAUUGCCGCAGAGACCACCUAUAUUGCUGUGGUGCUGAUUACAUUGGUGCCGGAACAGUCUGCUGGCACGGCUGAACUUCCUGUUGCAGAGGUGACAGCCGAACAGUCGCUUUGGUCUGUGGACGGACGGGUGGAAGACAGACGCCUGGAGAGGGGAAAGGUUAGGCAAAGGUCAUGUGAGCGUUGGGUUAAUUAAAACUAACUAAAGACAAAAGGUGCAGAAAAGUCUGGCUGAAGGUCGGGAAAGAAGAGGUUUCUAUGGUUACCUACUCGGAACCACUCGCCACGUCUGGUUUUCCACUACAAUCUGGUAAGUACCAAAUGUACGUGGUUGUUGUUAUAGCAACGUGCCCGAGUGUCCCCUGACGUGAUUAAUGUGCAACUCCAAUAACGGUGGAUGUCCAGGCGAUGAUGGACCUGCUACUCGGUUUGUGGCGUCAGACUCAGGUACACAGCGUUGCUUUUGUAGCCAUUUCUGUUGCUGCCCGACUUCAAAAAUGGCGCUUUUCAUUUUUUGCGAAUGAGACGCUGUCACGACUCAUCGAGGGAAGCAACUGACCGGCCAAUUGGGGGGAAAUUUUAGUAUUUGCUCGAAUCACUUGGAACGCCAGCCAAACAGCACCCGGUACCAGGAACUAUGACCUAAUGGGCAACCCCGAAAACCACGGCGAGUCGAUCCGAGUAGGUACUAAUGAAAAAGAGGCUGUAGUAACAGGUAAAGUUCAAGUAAAGGUCAGAAGACAUGGGCUUGUGUUCUGUAUCCUGAUUGGAUGUUUCUAAAAUAUGUGUUAUCACCUCUGACUCUAGAAGGCGUCUGAUUGGUGGACUGACCGUCUUUCCUGGUCUCUGAGGCUCCUCCUCUUCCUGUCUUCCUCCCGUUGAGACCGUGUGACCCAUUUCUUUAUCUUCAGUAUCAGAACAGUCAGUCAUCUUUGAAGCCCCGCCCCCAGCCUCAUUGAAGUCAAAAACAUUUUUUGAUCUUCGCCUGUACUGUGUGGGUUUGUUUUCUGCGUCCUGAUUGGAGAUUCUGAGACCACCUGAUGUUUCCUCUGACUCCAGGAGGCCAACCAACGUCCUCUUUGGCCUGUAAGGCUCCUCCUCUCCUUCCUCUCUUCCUCCUGUUGUGACCAUGUGACCUGUGUCUUUAGCAUUAGUCUCAGGCCUGUCAAUCACCUCUGAAGCCCUGCCCCCAACAGCAUCUUUUGAUCUUCCUCUCCUUCUUGUGGGUUUGGUAGCUGCCUCCCGAUUGGUCUGAUUGGCUGUUACAGAACCAUGUGAUGACUCCAGUAGGUACCUGAUUGGUUGGCAGACUGUCCUCCUUGGCCUCUGAGGCUCCUCCCUCUCCUCUGCAUCACCCUUCGCGUCAUUGGUUUGUUCUUGCUGUUGGUCAGCAGCAGCUUGUGCGCAGCUCGAAGCCGGUCUGUGGACGGACAGAUGGAGAUCCAGAGACGGCUGGCUGGUGAAGUUCAGACCACACACCUGGAGACAGGUAAAGUUGAAGGUCAAAGGUCAGAGAAACGAAGGUGAUGUGAUGUUCAAGUGAAGGACUGACCUGGCAGAGCUUCCACCAUCUCUCUGCUCCUCCGUCUGCUGAGGACUCCAUUGUGCUGCUGUCAUCCAGCUCCUUCUGCUCCUUCUUCGGCCUCCCCGUCUUCCUCCUCCCCACGUCUCUGCUUGCUCUGCUGUGAUUGGCCUCUGUUGGCCCAUGUGACUGCUGCUCAGACUCCAGCAGGUAUCUGACUGUCGGACCGACCAUUCUCCUCCUCGGUCUCUGACACUCCGCCUCCUCAGUCUUCAUUAUGACAGAUUUGACUCUUCCCCCUUCUUUCAUGGUCUCCUCCCCUCCCCUCUCCUCCUCCUCCUGCCCCUCGUUCUUCUUCCUCUCUUGGAUCCAGGUUGUUUGUUUCUCUCCUCGCUUGCUGGUGUGGGACUCCUCAUCCUUCUCCAGAAGUUUCAUCUUUAGUCUCCUCCUCUUCCCGGGUGGUUUUCCUGCGAUGUGAUUGGUCGAUUUGUCAGCCAGUGAUGACUUUUGUCUUUCACCUCCAUCAGGCCACCUCCCCCCCUCCAUCUUCGUCUUUUCUUUAAAUGCCAUGCUCUCAGAGCAGAGUCGCUCC
ensembl:lncRNA